CUUGGUGUGAGUUUACUAAUAAAAAACAACUCUCAAUGAUUGUUGCAGAUUAAAUUUGAGGACUUGGUUCUCCUUCAUCUCCUCCCCGAAGAUGUCAACAAGAUGUCUGGCCGACUCCCCUGGUAGUGCGGUGUCCUCGGCCGGAGUAGGGCGACCUUGCCAACAACCUUCAGCUCCCUCCCUUCCCUUCUUUGAUUUUCCUAUGGAAUUCAUAAUUUAUGCUCAGUUGGUGCCGUCUUCUUAUUGUUAUCUGUUUUGUUUCGUUGUCGACACAGAUGCAAAAGGAGAGGUACAAUUUGGACUCAAUGAUGCAUUGUUUACUAAAAGGAAAUCUCUAAAUUAUUAUUAGUGGUUAUUUUUGAUGAUAAGUCAUUUUCUGUGUGAAAAAACUUUGUUCAUACGUCGCCUUGUUUCACAGCUUUUCUAAAUUUGUUAGCAUAAAUAGUUUCAGGUAUCAUGGCUCCUAGAGGAAAAAUUAUUAAUAGUAUACACGCAUUUUUUUCUCUUUCGGUAAUCAUUUGUUGUUUUAUAAGUGUGACAUAAUGCUUAUUUCUACCUCUAGCAGGAUCAUGUAAUUACUGUCAGGAAUGGUACCAAUUCGCUGAUUGCAAAAGGUACAAAUGAAAGGCCCUUUUGUUUUAAUGCUAUUGAUGCAUCACAAGUUGGUGAAACUGAUUUGUCUAGGUGGAUGCAUAAUUAGUUUUGUGCUCAUCUGUGCACAAGCGGCCAAGCGCAGCUAUAACAUGGUGAAUGAACACUACUGGUAGAGAAGAUAGGAACGAAGAAAUGAUGGAGACAGCACAUUUAUUUUGGAUAAUAUUGGAAUGGAGAUCAUCAAGUGACUUGGAAGUACUCAGGCUGAAAAUAUGACAGGGAUGUGCCCUCUUCUCCAUCUCUGCAUGAUGGCUCAAAGCAUGCCACCAUGACCAGAUUGUUUCUCCACAACAGCAAGACAGAUAAUGCUUUAGCCCCGUUGGCUCUGGUUUUAAUUUUCUUGGUAUGGUUGACUCUGGUUUUAAGCUCUCCAAAGCAGCAAGGCAUUGGUGUAGGCCUGUAACGCCGGUGACAGAAGGCAGGCUGUGAUUGAUCUUGAGAUUGCCUUGACCUCUGUGUCGUAGCGGCUGCUGAAUAGAAGAGCUCUAUCUUGAGAAUUCAAGGACCCCUGGGUUGAGGAGGACUUGGCCAAGGAGUGCAUUCGUUGCUGGCUGGCCCAUCAGAUCCCAAGCAAUUCCCCUUCAUUUUAGCCGGGAACAAGGUUCAUGUAGACACUGGACGCAGACGAGUGUGAACCAGUGAAGCAUGUUGUUCAGAGAUGAUUAAAUUCAUAUUGUUUCAGCUCAACAACUACACUGUCUGUAACAUAGUCUGUUGCGUGGUUUGUUCAACAUACAGGGAUACUGGUUCCAACUUCCAAGUCUACACAAGUAAGCAGGGAUACUGGUUCCAAGUGCAAGAGAAACAUCCUGCUAAAGCUAAACUCAUUGAAUCAUCUACAGAUUUAUCUUUGUCUGAGGAGAAAUUGUGCUAUCACAUUGAUGAAAUGCUAUAGCACAGGUGGUGAAUUCCACCAGCUAUGUUCUGUAAUAUAACUAUUACAAUAUUAGACUUAGGUGAAACAAUACUUGUUUCUAUAAAUUGAUGUUGGAAUAUAUAUUAUGUGUAA